rnacentral:lncRNA from 1 species
UUUUAAUCCAAAUUUUGGUCAAUAACAAAAUAUGUGAAAGUUAAAUUGACGCAAUAGAAUUUGAGCUCAAAAGCAACAAGGCAAUGAAAGCGGGCGGCCAAAAUCGUGACCUCAGGAGGUUCUCUUUUGAUUUUUUAUCAUUUCUAAAGUACAUUUCAAAUUAGUUUAACAAAUUGAAAAACAAGGCAAAUCAGCAAAUCCCCAGUUCACCACAAAAUCCUUCCAAACCAGCCACUGCCAGACCAACCGACGAGGACGCUGCUGCAGCCAUGCCCAUAACUCACGCCACAGUUUUAUCAAGAAGUAGAAGCAGUAUUUAGUUGCAGCUUCAAGAUUAAAGGAAAAUGAAAGAGACCCUCUGUUACUCUUGGACAGCAUAUGUUGAGGCUCCAAUGCUCCAUGCUCCAUUACAUUCAAUAAUGGCAUUGACAUUUGCCCUACUUUAUGGGUAGCACCACUUUACCCCCACUUAGUAUAUCAUCAAAUCCCAGUUAUCACUUUUUAUUUGAAAUCAAUUUCAUAUUCACAGUUUAAACAGUAAAAUUACGAAGUUAUUGUCCUCCAUUGCUAGCAAAUUGGAUUCUUUAAAUCACAACAUUCA